rnacentral:rRNA from 1 species
UAAGCGACUAAGCGUACACGGUGGAUGCCCUGGCAGUCAGAGGCGAUGAAGGACGUGCUAAUCUGCGAUAAGCGUCGGUGAGGUGAUAUGAACCGUUAUAACCGGCGAUUUCCGAAUGGGGAAACCCAGUGUGUUUCGACACACUAUCAUUAACUGAAUCCAUAGGUUAAUGAGGCGAACCGGGGGAACUGAAACAUCUAAGUACCCCGAGGAAAAGAAAUCAACCGAGAUUCCCCCAGUAGCGGCGAGCGAACGGGGAGGAGCCCAGAGCCUGAAUCAGUGUGUGUGUUAGUGGAAGCGUCUGGAAAGGCGCGCGAUACAGGGUGACAGCCCCGUACACAAAAAUGCACAUAUUGUGAGCUCGAUGAGUAGGGCGGGACACGUGGUAUCCUGUCUGAAUAUGGGGGGACCAUCCUCCAAGGCUAAAUACUCCUGACUGACCGAUAGUGAACCAGUACCGUGAGGGAAAGGCGAAAAGAACCCCGGCGAGGGGAGUGAAAAAGAACCUGAAACCGUGUACGUACAAGCAGUGGGAGCCUCUUUAUGGGGUGACUGCGUACCUUUUGUAUAAUGGGUCAGCGACUUAUAUUCUGUAGCAAGGUUAACCGAAUAGGGGAGCCGAAGGGAAACCGAGUCUUAACUGGGCGUUAAGUUGCAGGGUAUAGACCCGAAACCCGGUGAUCUAGCCAUGGGCAGGUUGAAGGUUGGGUAACACUAACUGGAGGACCGAACCGACUAAUGUUGAAAAAUUAGCGGAUGACUUGUGGCUGGGGGUGAAAGGCCAAUCAAACCGGGAGAUAGCUGGUUCUCCCCGAAAGCUAUUUAGGUAGCGCCUCGUGAAUUCAUCUCCGGGGGUAGAGCACUGUUUCGGCAAGGGGGUCAUCCCGACUUACCAACCCGAUGCAAACUGCGAAUACCGGAGAAUGUUAUCACGGGAGACACACGGCGGGUGCUAACGUCCGUCGUGAAGAGGGAAACAACCCAGACCGCCAGCUAAGGUCCCAAAGUCAUGGUUAAGUGGGAAACGAUGUGGGAAGGCCCAGACAGCCAGGAUGUUGGCUUAGAAGCAGCCAUCAUUUAAAGAAAGCGUAAUAGCUCACUGGUCGAGUCGGCCUGCGCGGAAGAUGUAACGGGGCUAAACCAUGCACCGAAGCUGCGGCAGCGACACUAUGUGUUGUUGGGUAGGGGAGCGUUCUGUAAGCCUGUGAAGGUGGCCUGUGAGGGUUGCUGGAGGUAUCAGAAGUGCGAAUGCUGACAUAAGUAACGAUAAAGCGGGUGAAAAGCCCGCUCGCCGGAAGACCAAGGGUUCCUGUCCAACGUUAAUCGGGGCAGGGUGAGUCGACCCCUAAGGCGAGGCCGAAAGGCGUAGUCGAUGGGAAACAGGUUAAUAUUCCUGUACUUGGUGUUACUGCGAAGGGGGGACGGAGAAGGCUAUGUUGGCCGGGCGACGGUUGUCCCGGUUUAAGCGUGUAGGCUGGUUUUCCAGGCAAAUCCGGAAAACCAAGGCUGAGCGUGAUGACGAGGCACUACGGUGCUGAAGCGACAAAUGCCCUGCUUCCAGGAAAAGCCUCUAAGCAUCAGGUAACAUCAAAUCGUACCCCAAACCGACACAGGUGGUCAGGUAGAGAAUACCAAGGCGCUUGAGAGAACUCGGGUGAAGGAACUAGGCAAAAUGGUGCCGUAACUUCGGGAGAAGGCACGCUGAUAUGUAGGUGAAGCGACUUGCUCGUGGAGCUGAAAUCAGUCGAAGAUACCAGCUGGCUGCAACUGUUUAUUAAAAACACAGCACUGUGCAAACACGAAAGUGGACGUAUACGGUGUGACGCCUGCCCGGUGCCGGAAGGUUAAUUGAUGGGGUUAGCGGUAACGCGAAGCUCUUGAUCGAAGCCCCGGUAAACGGCGGCCGUAACUAUAACGGUCCUAAGGUAGCGAAAUUCCUUGUCGGGUAAGUUCCGACCUGCACGAAUGGCGUAAUGAUGGCCAGGCUGUCUCCACCCGAGACUCAGUGAAAUUGAACUCGCUGUGAAGAUGCAGUGUACCCGCGGCAAGACGGAAAGACCCCGUGAACCUUUACUAUAGCUUGACACUGAACAUUGAGCCUUGAUGUGUAGGAUAGGUGGGAGGCUUUGAAGUGUGGACGCCAGUCUGCAUGGAGCCGACCUUGAAAUACCACCCUUUAAUGUUUGAUGUUCUAACGUUGGCCCGUAAUCCGGGUUGCGGACAGUGUCUGGUGGGUAGUUUGACUGGGGCGGUCUCCUCCUAAAGAGUAACGGAGGAGCACGAAGGUUGGCUAAUCCUGGUCGGACAUCAGGAGGUUAGUGCAAUGGCAUAAGCCAGCUUGACUGCGAGCGUGACGGCGCGAGCAGGUGCGAAAGCAGGUCAUAGUGAUCCGGUGGUUCUGAAUGGAAGGGCCAUCGCUCAACGGAUAAAAGGUACUCCGGGGAUAACAGGCUGAUACCGCCCAAGAGUUCAUAUCGACGGCGGUGUUUGGCACCUCGAUGUCGGCUCAUCACAUCCUGGGGCUGAAGUAGGUCCCAAGGGUAUGGCUGUUCGCCAUUUAAAGUGGUACGCGAGCUGGGUUUAGAACGUCGUGAGACAGUUCGGUCCCUAUCUGCCGUGGGCGCUGGAGAACUGAGGGGGGCUGCUCCUAGUACGAGAGGACCGGAGUGGACGCAUCACUGGUGUUCGGGUUGUCAUGCCAAUGGCACUGCCCGGUAGCUAAAUGCGGAAGAGAUAAGUGCUGAAAGCAUCUAAGCACGAAACUUGCCCCGAGAUGAGUUCUCCCUGAGACUUAGAGUCUCCUGAAGGAACGUUGAAGACGACGACGUUGAUAGGCCGGGUGUGUAAGCGCAGCGAUGCGUUGAGCUAACCGGUACUAAUGAACCGUGAGGCUUAACCUU